UUGAUUCACAAGUUGAAAGCAGAGGUCGAAGAAAUGUAAUAUAAUUUGUUGGAUCAUAUUAGCCUUGAAAUUCACAUGACUGCUGUCACAUUGAAGCUCCGACUGACGUGGCUCACAUUCGUCAGUUCUCCGUUCCACCUUCAAUAGUAAGCACCUAAAUUUUCGGUGGUUUCAGCUUCCUUUGGAUUCCGGUAGUGAAAGAUCUCUUAAAAAACAAAAUCAUGUACAUGUAUGUCAACCCGAAUUACGUUUUGGUAGGGGGUCCCUGCUGUGGUCCCUGCGGCGGAUGUGGUCCUUGUGGUGGAUGCGGCCCCUGUUGUGGUGGGUGUGGCCCCUGCUGUGGUCCUUGCGGAGGAUGUGGACCUUGCUGCGGCGGCACCAGCAGUUUUUGCGGUUGCGGUC